AACGAACGCUGGCGGCAUGCCUAACACAUGCAAGUCGAACGAGACCUUCGGGGCUAGUGGCGCACGGGUGCGUAACGCGUGGGAACCUGCCCUUAGGUUCGGAAUAACUCCCCGAAAGGGGUGCUAAUACCGGAUAAUGUCUUCGGACCAAAGAUUUAUCGCCUUUGGAUGGGCCCGCGUUGGAUUAGCUAGUUGGUAGGGUAAAAGCCUACCAAGGCGACGAUCCAUAGCUGGUCUGAGAGGAUGAUCAGCCACACUGGGACUGAGACACGGCCCAGACUCCUACGGGAGGCAGCAGUGGGGAAUAUUGGACAAUGAGCGAAAGCCUGAUCCAGCAAUGCCGCGUGAGUGAUGAAGGCCUUAGGGUUGUAAAGCUCUUUUACCCGGGAUGAUAAUGACAGUACCGGGAGAAUAAGCUCCGGCUAACUCCGUG
rnacentral:rRNA from 1 species